CGCUGACGUUGUUCAGGCGGGUAGAGAUUGCGUAAAGUGCGCAGGAAGGCGCAGUCAUCACCGUAGCUUAACAGCAAGGCAAGACUAGUGCUGUACAAAUGACAGACGCAGAGCAGGCCUUGCAGCUGUGUUUCUGAGCCCAUACCCACCCCCUAAGAGAUCCUUCUUCCUCGCCAUGAUUUCACAGACCUCCACUUACUCCAUUGUGCUGAGAAACAAAAAAUAAAAGAAACACAAUCGCCUUGUCCUCUUUCUCAUCUUAAUAAGCAGCUCCAAGUUUGAUAAUUACACGUUCAGCCCGCCGCAUGAGUUUCUAUGCAGUGUUCACAUCAGGGAGAAAGCCAUUGACUCCGCUGUUGAGGGGAGCAACUAUUAGGAAUGACUGACAACUGUCCCCCUCCCCCUUUGGUCGUGGAGGCUGUAAAAGUGAGAACAGCGCCGAUCAAUUCUGUCUCCUCGUUAGGGAGUGUGUCCCUGAACACCACCAUGUAACUAUCGGAGCAGCCAGCGGACCACAUACGUUGCAAGGCCCAUAAUCCAUUCCAUAACCUAUCGCCAUGUGCUGCCGAUUAAUGGGGUUUCUGCGGAGCAAGCGCCGAGGAGACGGCCAGACUGAGGGUUUUCUUCUGUGGCGGAAGCCAAUCUGUUUAGGAUUAGGGGAAUAACUGGUGUGGCUGACACCGAUGCAUCCAACAUGCAGGGCUAAGGAGGAGAGAAGAGAAGAGGAGAGAGAAAAGAGGAAGAAGUGCAGUGAAUGUGUUGACAGGGAGUUGAUUGUGUUUUGGCAGGGGUCUGGUCAUUGGUGGUGGUUUGAAUCUAUAACUGGUGACUGUCUUGGGAGUCCAAAAUCUGAGAGGCAUCUGUGGUUGUUUAGUCCACUGCACUUUAUUUAUAGAAAGCAUCUUCAUUCCUGUAAGAAAUUAUGUUAUGUUAAUUUAUAUUUUGGCUGAUUAUUGCAACUUCCAGUUAUUCAUAACAGUUUUGGAGUAUCAUCUUAUCCGAGAUCAUCAAAAUAAAGGAUACACUGUUCUCCUGUCUUCUGUUUCCAGACUGUUUGAAGCAGAGACAUACCUUAUCUGACUCCUCCACACAGAGAGGCCUUCUUUUGUGAACCAGUGGCCCACUCAGCCAUUAUGAUGGCAAUCUUGAUGAUUAAAGACCCGUGGAGCAAACUGGGCUACCUGUUGCCAUGAUGUCAUGUCUAGUCUAGAGCCACUGCAAUGAUUAAGAUUUAAGGCCAUUAGAGAACUUUACUGGAUGCUGUUUGUGGAAAAAUAUCAAUUAGCUUUUGGCUACAAAAAAGCAGUUUAUGUUUUGGAUCUGAUGUUCUGGCUCUUAGUGAAUAUUUAGGGGCACAUAUAGGUGCAAAUGCUUUUUUUUCUUCUUUUGGAAUAACUAAUGUAUAAGAAACAGCUGUUUCUUGAAACCACACUUUUGUAUCCAGACUUGACGCAACCAAUUAUCACUCUUGGAUUAAAAGAAUCAGCUCUUCAACUCUUGGCUCAUGGGUUAUUGUUGGAUGUCUGGGUUUGGAUUAAAUAGCAAAGUGCCAUAUUAAUCUACCAACAGAGAGUUACAAUUAGUUUGAGGAAUUGGGUACAUUUGAAUUUAUGAAGCCUAUAUUUCAACCAUUUCCCAAUAAAGUUUGCUGCCAUUGCUGUCAAAUUGAUUGAAAACAGUAGUUACAUAAUUUUUUUUUAAGGAAGCUCUACGUGCAGCAGCUCUAAGACAACUACUGUUAAAGCUGCAUUAAUGCAUAUUUUUAUGUUAACAACGGAAGAAGUGUUUACCUGUCUGUCUGCUUUUAGUGCAAACAAACAGAAAAUGUUCCCCUUGCAUCUAAGCAGCAUUUUAAAGUAUUUUAGCUCAUUGCAGAUGCGGCUUGCAGCUUUACUGUUUUGGUUUCAAUCUCACAGCUUCCAUCAACCACAUUUCCUGUUUCAACAAAAAUGCCUAGACUGACAAAGUCAGUUACCAGCUGAUGAACACAGUGGCGCAUUUAGCAGAGAAAGAGUUAAGCAUAAGAUGCAGAUAUUGCCCUCAUGGAUAGGUGGUGACCAAAACAGAGCUACAAGGAUAGCGAAUAUUGGACUAGACUUAAGUCUUAAAUGCAGUUCUAAAUGAAUGUUGCUCUGUAACUGCUGGAUAGAUAAACAGGUAACAUUGCUAACAUGUUUGCCAUAUCAAUUUAAUAAAGUGGAAUUAUGCCGGUGCUUUAACAUAAAAUUAUUUCUACUCUGCAUUAAUGGAUUAUUAAUAGUGACCACAGGUAUCACUGGCAUAAUCUUUAUCCCUAUGGAGAUUAUAUUGAAAGAAAUGUCUUAAUAUUAGGAAAUGUAUUAGGUGUUGAAAAGCUGUAAAAGAACCUUGGACAUCAAAAGAGCAAUAUUAGGUGAGGCAGUCAGUCCAGAAAGCAUACAGCACACAACAAUGCUAAUUUGUUCACUUGUCUUUACUUCCUCGUAGUGCAUCAUGCAGAUUAUUGGCAACUAUUAGUUACGAUGCUUAAUAUUUACAACUUUUUGUUAUUUGUUUGGAAAUAUACAUGGAUGCACAAGGUUAAAAACUGAGGGUGAGUCAAACACUGAAAGUGGAAAGUAGAGCGAGGAGGUUCAAGAGAAGAUGCAGAGCAAACAACCAUUUAGCAGAAAGGUUGUUACAGGUGUGUAGACACACACACACACACACACACACACACACACACACACACACACACACACACACACACACACACACGCCACUCUUUAUGUUCAGAAACCCCUGUGAUAACAUAUUGCUUGUUUCCUCACCUCACUGCACAGUCAUAUGGGUUCAUAGGACCUGCUCAGCCUUCCUCUGCCCUCUAUGAUCACAGUUUGCCACAGCUUCACCUCCACCUCUGCAAACCACAGUGAGGGGCAUCCAUAUGUAUGGAUGAACUGACAAACAUAACACAAGGGAUUAUUUUUCUUUCCUCCUCUGUCUUUAUUUUAUUCAUUCACCAUACAUCUUCCUCUCACAUCUCUCUUUUCAUCCCUCCCUCCUCCUCUUCAACCUUCUCACAGGUGGCUGAGCCCCAGCCUCACGCACAUGGAAGCGGGCUCUUCUCAUCGCCCGGGACCUCGGCCUCUGAAGCACUCCUCUGGGAGAUUCCACCAGAGACCCAGGCUCGCAAUGCAAAUGUACAGCCACACUCGAAGUGAAAAAUCUGAGAGACUGUGGCCCUUGGAACAUUUUUUUUCACACAAGAGACACACGCAGUAUGCAACACAGAUACCUACGCACGCAACUUACUAACACCCAACAAAGCACUUGCCUUCUCCGUCCUCCCUUAGGGCAGUGUUGUUUUUGGCUUGGGCUGGGACAUAUGUCACUGGGGAGCAUGUGUAGUGCCUGGUUAAUUAGGGCUACCUCAAAGCACGCAUAAAAACGGAGGCGAUAUUUAUUAGGCAGCAUUUUAGCUGCUUGUCAUGAGUGCGUGUCGACGCUGUAAAACAAAGUUUGAAUGAGUGAGUCAGAAAAUGUUCUGUAACUAACCAUUGCUACCUCGCUGCUCAUGGAGAGAUUGACAUUUCAAGCUUCUUUGCUUCAAUUCACAAAUUCAUCCUGGUGCCGUGCUCCGUAUACACUCUCACGGAAGAUGUAUCCCUCUACCAGUAGUAUUUAUUUGUUGUAAUCAAGUGGACAGAGCGAUGUUUGUCCCCUAGUGCUUGCUGUACAUGACUCCUCUUGCAGCAGAGGUACAACACUGUUACACACCAGAAGCGUCUGUUAAUGUGUGAUAAUUUACGAUGUCCAUUUUGAGGUGGUUAUGUAAAAGCAGACUUGUUUAAUUUUGCACUGAAAGCUAAUAAAUCCCUGAUGUAGUGUGAGUUAGUGUUACUGUAACUGUGAUGAAAAUUUGUAACACGCAGUCAGUGUUGAUACACGUCAGAAGUGAAAACAAAUUUAGUAUCAAUGUGUGCUGAAAUUAUAUAUUCCUCUUCACAUACUCACUUCUUCAGAAGGGUAAGAGUGUGCGGUUGGCAACAGUAUAGACAGGUUUCCUGUUUACAGUCCAGGAUGUGCACACAGCAGAGGGGUGGAAAAACAUUGCCACAAUGCCAUGAUUGCUUAUAUAUGGACAUUUUCAGUAUAUAAAAAUCGACUCUCUGGAAUCUUGUAAAAUUACUGUUCAGCAAUCAUCCUCCCUUCUCCUUCCACUUUUUUUUUUAACACUGAUAGUCAUCUGUUGGUUCCAGCUAAUGUUAUCUAAUAUGAGCCAUGAAACUCCAGGGAGCUAGUAGCAGUGAUAAUCUUAGUUGAGACUACACAAACCUAGCUCUUGCAAGUAGUAAGUAUUACUGUAACUGAUAAUGGGUAGCACAGAUUAAAAGCACAGAAUACCCUCCAUAAGUAAUGUUAACAUAGGUAACAUGCUGGGUGCCAUGCCAUUAGUCUGAAACCGUAAAAUAACUGAAAACCUUUUUUUCUUAGGUAAAUACCUGGUUCAUGUAAAUGACCAGAGCCAUCACACUUCGAGCUUGAUGACGGCUAUACAGGAAUCUACAGUAUGGGUGACGUCACAGAGACUACGUCCAUUCUUAAUUAUACCGUCUACGGGAAUCAACAACCUGCGUAAGUAACUUUACUGAUGUUUCCAACGUACAUAUUUAUUUUAACCCAAACCAUGAUCUUUUCCUAAACCUAACCAAACUGAGACCCUUUCACAACGGUAACCACAUAUUUGUUAUUGUUACCAUGACAACAAAGGUCAACUGACUUUGUCCUUCCCGCACGUCCAAAACUCCAGGGAGGGUGUGUAUUUUCUGGAAAAACAGGCUUUUGGAGCAGUGGGCUUUUGUUAACAGGAUCGGACAAAUGGGCUUUCGGUCUGGCGGGACAUUUUUUCGAACUAUGGGGGUCUCGGAAUAAUGGGUCGUUGUCAAAACAUUAAGCAGUCCCCUCCUGCUAUUAUUAGCAUGUGUACAAAAUCCUACUGUUUACUUCCACAAUAUGUAUGUAUUAGACAUCUAGAGUGUGUAUGGGCAAAGCAAAGCUUACCUAUAAGAAACUCCUUUCACACCUUUUAGACAAUUACAAACUCAUGACACAGGGUUAAACAGAACAUUUCCUAUAAUAAAAAACUCCAAGAUCCACUAUUUUGAUGGAAAUUUUUCUUUUUUAUUGUUUUUUAGCUGAUGUAAAACCCAAGAGUAUUAUUCACUUUUAAUUGUCUUUCCUUCUAAAGUGGAAUUCCAAAAAGAAGUAGUCCAUCUGAGGAAAAACCAACAUCUGCCACUUUUUUCAGACCCUUCAAUGUGACAUUGAUGCAGCCUGUCACGCACAAACUCUUUGUCACCUGUUUGUCUUCCUCCAGCGAACACAAAGACUAUUGUUUUUGGUUGUGUUUGGAGUAUUUUGGCCACUUCACACCUGUCAUUCACAUCUAUCCCAGCCUGUACAUUCAGCAGCGUGAAGGGAGGGUCAUUUUUUUUCUUCUCUGAACUGCUCUCAUUUUCCCAGUGAAUGGAUAAAUAUGUGAUUGUCCAAUUUAUACAAAAGACCAACUACCUAAUAAUUGUUCCCACAAAGACAGAUUCAUGGACAGCCACAGAUGUGUCCUUCCCAUGAAUGACUUUGACGUUAAGCUGAGAGUAGAUUGUUGUACUAAAUGCAGUCAUAUCAUAGCUGAAUUGUUUGUUUUUUCCCACUAUAUUGCAUGUCUACAAAAGCUCCUAUAACACUGUAGUGUGACCUGGUUGAUUCAAGGGUUUUGGUUUCAUGAUUCUUGGCCUGGAGGAGAGUGGGUUGUGGUUAGGAGUGAGGGUGCCAACAGAGGCCAUGUGAUAGGCAUUACCUCAGAGCGAGGGUCCAUGGAGAUGAUUAUACUUUAAGAGCUUUUUAAUGCUCAUUAACACUUAUGGCUCCUCUCAGGCCUGGGAUUAAAUCCUACUUCUCCCUUUUGCUGACAUGAAGCUGUACCAGGAAUAUAGGGGAUUAAAACAGUGCACAAAGAAAAACAUGUAUCAAAAAGGAAAUAAUGUGUUACAUUUAAAUGGAAUUCUUCAGAAAUUCCUCUGAGGUUUUGAUACAUAAGUAAGUGUUUGUAUCAUUCUGACACACCUGAGUGCCACAAUAUCUAGAUAUUAUCCAGACCCUCUUAAGCCUCCAUAAACAUUGAGUUAGUAUGCUGCUACUGGCAUUUAUAUAAAACCACUUAAAUACUCAACACACAUUACAUUGCACAUUAAGCACAAUUUGUCACAGAAAGACUGAAAGCAGAGCAUUCCCUAAGAGCUGUAAACAUAUUUUUUCAUGACAUUACACUCAAGUUUACCACAUCUUUUCCAAAGUUUUAAGCAGAAGAUGGAGAUGCAUCAUGGACAUGAUGUUCCGGUCAUUUUUCUGCAAAUUACAAUAGUCUGUUGUUACCAGGAUUAGAGGAAAAUAUCAAACUUGCUGAGUGUUGUUAGGGACAUGCAGUAAUUGUUAAUACAGUACUGUUGUAAUAUACUUAUAAUGAUAAGGUAUUUUCCACCUUGCGUGCAUGCAUAAAUGCGAUUAUGGUGAGAGCAGCAUGAUCACCUACUAAAAUUAAACAUAGUUCUAUUACACUAUUUAAUUUUAUGAGCCACCAUUCAAUGUUUUUCUCCAGUUUUCUCCAUUCCAUUUUAACUUCAUACCUCCUUGGCUCUGGUAAUUUAGCAUAAAAAAAUAAUUAAUGAUGGCCACAUGCUUCACUGAAGAAACAUUAGAAAGAUGGAAAGAAAGCUCUAUGCUUGUCACUAACUCUAACAGGGAGUUGUUGAAAUUAAGGACAUAAUUUCUGGUAGACGUGUUACAUAUAUAAAUAUGAUUCUUCAUGCCAUUCUCCUUGCUAAAACCUCAAAAUUUUUCCCUCAGUUUUACAGCAGUAGCCUUGUUGGUUUUUCUAGUGGCAUGAUUUGGCCUUCACAGAUUGGUUUUAGGAUACAAAAUGGGGCCAGUAAAUUCUGCCAGACCGUAAGAACUUGAGACUUAGGUCUUCACCAAACCAUAGCACUGACCCAGACGCUAAUCACGGGUUGCUAAACCAAGUCAUGAUAGCUGGUGUAUUUAUGAACGUGCAAAAUCAACAGGGGGACUAAGUGAAAAUAGUUGGUUACCAUCUACUUCCUCUGCCCCAUUUUUAUUAUCCAACACAGAGAUUAAUUUUGUCAGCUGUCAGUGAUGCCUUAUGUUUGAUGGCGUAUCAGGUGUAGCUUAUGACGCAUCACUCAUGUUACUUGAUACCUGAACUAAGACAGAGCUAGGAGUAUUCUCAAUUAAUUUGAUAGCAGAAGAUUCUUUAAAACCACAAAGAUUUCCAACUUAAAGGAAACAGUUCAACAUUUUAGAAAAUGCGCUUUUUUACUUUCAUUCCAAGAGAGAGAUCAGAAGACUGAUAUCAGACUGUCUUGUCUUUCUGUUAGGUUUGGAGUUGGUGUUAGAUCGUGUUUACCUAGCUUUGCAUAAAGUCUGGAAGCGGGAGAAACAGCAAGACUCUGUCCCUCCAAAGGUCUCUUAUUUACAUAAUAUAUCUUGUUUGUUUCAUUCUUUACGUACCAUCUUUACAUAAGCAACAAUUUUUAUAUAUGCAUAACUAUGUUUUCAUUAGUCAUUAAACAAGAAUCACUGUGCUUUUGGAUUAUUUUUGGGGAGGAAGCGAGGGAGUUGCAAUCUGCAAUUACACCGCUAGGUGCCACUAAAUCCUACACACUGGAUCUUUAAAUGUACAAUGAUACAGGACAUGAAAUUAAUACAUCUUCUCAGGGCACUCUUGGAAAGAUAAGUGUGAUUCCCAAAAUUGUACUCAUUUAAUAUACUGCUAACUACAAAGACUUAAACCUGACUUCUGUGCGAAGAACUCUGAAACAACAUUACAGGAUCUUCCAUCAUCAGUAAGUUUGGUUUAUGUGAUUAAUACUUCUGGGGUUUCCAUCAAACAGUGGUUUACUUUAUAUUUAUGCAACCUCUCUGUGAAUUGCAAGGGUCUUGCAAAACUCCCUCCAGUCUUGAUUAAUUUGAUUAAUUGAUAACACAGCAGAGUUGAAGCUUGCUGCAGAAGAUUUAUUCAACACUAAGGUCUAACAUAUUGAAAAGCAGAGGCUGAAAAAUGGCAAAGGGACACAUUGGUUUGUUUUGGCUUGGGAACCUUGUUCCACUCUACGAAAUGGGUUUGCAGACUACUGGUGUGGAGCCGCUCUCUUUUAUUUGACUAUGUGCCUCACUGUGAGAAAGGAAAAAAUGGCUUUGUAUAAUCACCAACCAGCCAUAUGGCCCCAAAAAAAGGAAAAAAAUGUUGGCAACUGUUUUUUGUGCAGAACAUUAAAAAGAGAGCAAGAGAGAGAGGGGCAGAGGGAGACGUUUCUGACCGCAACUCAUAAACCGCACUUUAUUUAGACUGGCGUGCACCCAUUAUUUGUUCACAGGGGCUUUCAGUCAGUCUGAGGGAAAUAUGUUCCAGCAUCUGGGGAGAGGAGAGGGAGGGAGAGGGGGAUGAUGGAGGAGGGAGAGAGAGAGAGAGAGAGAGGAGGUAGGAUGAACUCUUGCCAGGUGUCGGCUGUUGCCAUGGCGUUCCAUCAGGCGACUCCAUUGCGGCUCGGCGGGCUCAUCAGAGACUGAAUGCCAAUGGGAGGGCGUUUGCACCGUGGAGAAACCGAAAGUGGCUCUAAAGCA